GAACCGUCUAUUUGUUUGAGUAGUGAUAUUGAGACAAAUGAAUGCUUGGAGAAUAAUGGUGGUUGUUGGCAGGAUAAAGUGGCCAAUCUCACAGCUUGCAAGGAUACUUACCGUGGGAGGGUUUGUGAGUGCCCCCUGGUAGAUGGGGUGCAGCUUAAAGGAGAUGGUUACACCAUCUGUGAAGCUAGAGGUCCUGGAAGGUGCAACGUAAAUAAUGGUGGCUGUUGGCAAGAAAGUCGUAAUGGACUUUCAAUGUCUGCUUGUGUGGAUAAUGGGGAGGUUAAAUGUAAAUGUCCUCCAGGAUUUAGAGGUGAUGGUGUCAAGACUUGUGAAGAUAUUAAUGAAUGCAAGGAGAGGAAGGCUUGUCAAUGUUCCGAAUGUAGCUGCACGAA
rnacentral:misc_RNA from 1 species